UAAUACAUUUUGCUCAGAGAAAGCUGAAAAAAAAGCAUCAACUCUUACAUGUGUUUAGCUAAACUUGCUCCUGGGCGACAACCGAAGUCUUGUAGCCAUAGACAUUGUCUGCGAGUGGAGGCUGUGGUUUGGUUAUGCUGCCAGCAACCAAUUUCUAGACAAACCUGUCACAGUUGGUGGACCUCAAUCAGGAUUUUCUUGUAAGGAUGCCCAUGCUGUUAGGAAUUGUAUUUGCAAGUAAGUGCGGGUGGAGAAUUUUGAAGGUUGCUGCUGGGAGAAGUGAGUGUCUCUCAGUGGUGUCACUCUUUCAGAAAUAGCAACUGCAGCCUGAAUCUUUUGUGUAGCAGUUUCUCAGAUUAAAUCUCUGCCACUCAUUGUGUUUUUGCUUUUUAUUUUGCAGAACUUUCCAGCUGGAGAUGCAUGUUAUGAAGAGCAAUAAGAGCUGUAGAAUGGGUACUGUAACGUCUUUACAAACAAGUUUUUGAAGUAAGAUGCUUCUAGCUCAGGAGAACAUUGAAGGCACAUUGAAAUCCUCCUGAAAACUCUAAGCCAGUUCUUAACUGCUCUUUGAAAUCAAGGCUGAGCGUAACCUGCUGUAGAAGAAUGAAAAAGCACAGAUGAAUCUCACGUCAACCAAAUUCUGCUGUAAGUGAUCGUGCUUCUCGCUGUUCCUGUUUCAGACGUACUGAUGUUAUGAAUGAAUAAACCAAGGAGUAUAAUACUUUA